rnacentral:rRNA from 1 species
AGAUUGAACGCUGGCGGCAUGCCUUACACAUGCAAGUCGAACGGUAGAGUAGCAAUACUCGAGAGUGGCGAACGGGUGAGUAAUAUAUCGGAACGUGCCCAGUCGUGGGGGAUAACGUAGAGAAAUUUACGCUAAUACCGCAUACGAUCUAAGGAUGAAAGCGGGGGAUCGCAAGACCUCGCGCGAUUGGAGCGGCUGAUAUCAGAUUAGGUUGUUGGUGAGGUAAAAGCUCACCAAGCCGACGAUCUGUAGCUGGUUUGAGAGGACGACCAGCCACACUGGGACUGAGACA